CAAUAGCGUAUAUUUAAGUUGCUGCAGUUAAAAAGCUCGUAGUUGGAUUUCGGGUGGGAAUGGCCGGUCCGCCGUUUCGGUGUGCACUUGCUACGCCCACCUUGCUGCCGGGGACGUGCUCUUGAGUUCACGCCCGGGACACGGAGUCGGCGAGGUUACUUUGAGUAAAUUAGAGUGUUCAAAGCAGGCCUACGCUCUGAAUACAUUAGCAUGGAAUAACACGAUAGGACUCUGGCCUAUCUUGUUGGUCUGUAGGACCGGAGUAAUGAUUAAGAGGGACAGUCGGGGGCAUUCGUAUUUCAUUGUCAGAGGUGAAAUUCUUGGAUUUAUGAAAGACGAACUACUGCGAAAGCAUUUGCCAAGGAUGUUUUCAUUAA
rnacentral:rRNA from 1 species